CGUGAAGGAUAACGUUGCGUCAGCAACGGCACGUAGGGCAAGGCGAAGCCGAGUCAUCCUGCACGACCCACCA
rnacentral:sRNA from 1 species